GUCUGUGGCCAUGCCACCCUGAACAAGCCCGAUGUCUGAUCUCCAAAGCUAAGCAGGGUCGGGCCUGGUUAGUACUUGAAUGGGAGACCACCUAGGAAGACCAGGUGUUGUAGGCA
rnacentral:rRNA from 1 species